GACGAACGCUGGCGGCGUGCUUAACACAUGCAAGUCGAACGGAAAGGCCCUGCUUUUGUGGGGUGCUCGAGUGGCGAACGGGUGAGUAACACGUGAGUAACCUGCCCUUGACUUUGGGAUAACUUCAGGAAACUGGGGCUAAUACCGGAUAGGAGCUCCUACUGCAUGGUGGGGGUUGGAAAGUUUCGGCGAUUGGGGAUGGACUCGCGGCUUAUCAGCUUGUUGGUGGGGUAGUGGCUUACCAAGGCUUUGACGGGUAGCCGGCCUGAGAGGGUGACCGGCCACAUUGGGACUGAGAUACGGCCCAGACUCCUACGGGAGGCAGCAGUGGGGAAUAUUGCACAAUGGGCGGAAGCCUGAUGCAGCAACGCCGCGUGCGGGAUGACGGCCUUCGGGUUGUAAACCGCUUUCGCCUGUGACGAAGCGUGAGUGACGGUAAUGGGUAAAGAAGCACCGGCUAACUACGUG
rnacentral:rRNA from 1 species